CAUUUGUAACAUCUGUAAAGGAAGGCAAUAUGCUGCAUUAAAAAACCAAACCCCCAGAGAUAUUUUGUGUGAAAAUCUCAACACAUUCUUUUAGGAGAGGUUUAUACCUGGUUUAUUUGGUGUCUGAACAAAGUGCUGAGAAGUAAAAGUUUUUCCGUCGGGAUACUUCGGAUGUGGAGGUAAUCUGGAAUCAAGCUCUGGACAACCCAUUCGUCUCAUCUGUGUGCUGACAGACUCAAUCUCUUGAACAAGUGGCACUAAUAUUGUCUCAUUGAUCCACUAGAAGAAAUAAGCCUGCUCUGCCACACCAACCUUCCAAAAGACUACUUGAAAAGAGACAGCUAUAAUUUGAUCAGUCCACAAUGAAACUGCUACACACAGCACUAAAAACACAGCAAGUGAACAGAAUCACCCCGAAAAAGACAAAUCACAUGUAAUUCAAAGGAGGCUCCAAGUCAAUCAAGAGAGGCGGAACGCCUAGCCACAUCCCCCUUGGCUGAACCCAGGACAGAUCAGCAGGCGCGGAACUCCCACAACCCGCGUAGAUUCCAAGACAGGAAGCACAAACACGACCC
ensembl:lncRNA novel transcript